rnacentral:rRNA from 1 species
AGAAUGAACGCUGGCGGCAUGCCUAACACAUGCAAGUCGAACGAAUUACCUUCGGGUAGUUAGUGGCGCACGGGUGCGUAACGCGUGGGAAUCUGCCCCUUGGUUCGGAAUAACAGCGAGAAAUUGCUGCUAAUACCGGAUGAUGACGUAAGUCCAAAGAUUUAUCGCCAAGGGAUGAGCCCGCGUAGGAUUAGGUAGUUGGUGUGGUAAAGGCGCACCAAGCCGACGAUCCUUAGCUGGUCUGAGAGGAUGAUCAGCCACACUGGGACUGAGACACGGCCCAGACUCCUACGGGAGGCAGCAGUGGGGAAUAUUGGACAAUGGGCGAAAGCCUGAUCCAGCAAUGCCGCGUGAGUGAUGAAGGCCUUAGGGUUGUAAAGCUCUUUUACCCGGGAUGAUAAUGACAGUACCGGGAGAAUAAGCUCCGGCUAACUCCGUGCCAGCAGCCGC